rnacentral:tRNA from 1 species
GCCGAAGUGGCGGAAUGGCAGACGCGCUAGACUCAAAAUCUUGUGUCCUAUCGGGCGUGUGGGUUCAAGUCCCACCUUCGGCACUA